CUGCUUCUGUUUGCUCCCCAGUGCCGACAGCGGACAAUGCAGCCGGCGGGCGUAAUUGCCACAGUGGUAGCUCUGCUUGCAGCAAACGGGACAUCGGUGCUGGAUUGCGUCUGCUGGCACCUCAACAAUGUUACUGACUCUGGCGGAAUCUUUGAAGACAACGUUAAAAAAACGAUAAAAUGGUUCUACUGUAAUUAUGAAGUUUGGUCACCGGACUUCGUAACGUGCUACAGCCGGGAGCAGCCGUCCCCCGCGGUCUCAGGUGCGCGGCGCCUGGAAGACCGCCUCUUGCACUCCGGACUGCUGCCGCCGCCAGCAGGUGGAGCGUUGGAGGGAGGGGGGUGCGCCGCCGCCCUGGCGCAGCUCCGCCGCGUCCCGUAUUCUGAAUACCGGGAAUUCCUCGAGGAGCUCGACUGCCGGAUCGCUGACGACUGUAUCGACUCCCGCUGUGUACCGAGGGCACAUUUGUGAGACCCAAAGAGGAAGCGCGCUAAUACCUUCUGCCGCCGCCUCUUCUGUUGACACUUUCCACCGAGCAGUCACCAAAUGGCACAGGAGAGACAUGGCAGCGUCUUGAAAACGUGGUAUUAUAGUGGAAGUGCUGCUCGUGAUUAUGGCGCCAUGGAGCAGACGGUGAGCCAUGUUGUGGGGGAGCGCCCACUCCAUGCCUUUGAAGGCGGUCUGCUGUGCUUGUCCAAUCAUAGUUCUGGCUGCAUGUUUGUAUGUGAAUUCUUGUACUUCAUCAGAAACGAUCAGUUCACCAGAAUAUGUAAGCAGACUCGCAUACCAGCCGUAAUGUAAGCCAUAAUUCCUGACACCUCGAUUCGUCUCUAAUGGGCUGGCGACCUCUAUCAAUGGGAAACGUGAAAGCUGGAGAAGGGCAAGUUGAGUUUAGUUUUCACUAUUCUAUUCUACAAAAUACAGUCAAGUUUCAGAAUAUCAUCUGUCACAUAAGCUGACUCCAUUUUAUUUUGAAAGGUUGAACAACAUGGAAUGGAACAUGACAACGCUGCAAACGGAUGAUCUGAGGCAUCAUAUCCUGUCCCAGUCAGCGUAUGCUGUUCGACGCAUCACAAAAGCCAUGGUCGGCAGGGUGAAUUGUGAGUGGUGGCGUCAAGUUGAGUUUGAAUGGAGGAAUAAACGUGAACUGCAGGCCCAGGCGGCUGUUUUCUGGGAACGACUCUCCAGCUACUGGCGGGACUUGGCGCAGCUGCUCUCACAUGGUGCGACGCACGCCUCGGAGCUGUUGGUUCCCCUCGCAUUCGAACGUAUGGGUAACCACGCAAGUGAUCAGCAACUCCACGGUUGGAUUAAGGACAUGGAACGUGUG